rnacentral:rRNA from 1 species
ACUCCUACGGGAGGCAGCAGUGGGGAAUAUUGCACAAUGGGCGAAAGCCUGAUGCAGCAACGCCGCGUGAGCGAUGAAGGCCUUCGGGUCGUAAAGCUCUGUCCUAUGGGAAGAUAAUGACGGUACCAUAGGAGGAAGCCCGCUAACUACGUGCCAGCAGCCGCGGUAAUACGUAGGGGCAAGGCGUUAUCCGGAAUUACUGGGCGUAAAGGGUGCGUAGGCGGUUUAUCAAGUCAGGGGUGAAAGGCUACGGCUCAACCGUAGUGAGCCUCUGAAACUGGUGAACUUGAGUGUAGGAGAGGAAAGUGGAAUUCCCAGUGUAGCGGUGGAAUGCGUAGAUAUAUGAAGGAACACCAAUGGCGAAGGCAGCUUACUGGACAAGUAUUGACGCUGAGAUGCGAAAGUGUGGGUAGCAAACAGGAUUAGAUACCCUGGUAGGCUCUGCU